GACAGAGGUGCCAAGCGUUAGGCGGAAUCACUGGGCUUAAAGCGUGUGUAGGCGGAUCGUUAAGUACCUUGUGAAAUCCCACGGCUCAACCGUGGAACUGCUGGGUAUACUGGCGAUCUUGAGCCACCUAGGGGCGAGCGGAACAAGCGGUGAAGCGGUGAAAUGCGUAGAUAUCGCUUGGAACGCCAAUGGUGAAAACAGCUCGCUGGGGGUAUGCUGACGCUGAGACACGAAAGCCAGGGGAGCGAACGGG
rnacentral:rRNA from 1 species